CCUACGGGAGGCAGCAGUGGGGAAUAUUGCACAAUGGGCGCAAGCCUGAUGCAGCCAUGCCGCGUGUUUCCUUUCUUCCUUCUCGUUGUAUAUUACUUUCAGUCGUGUGCAUGGUGUUAAGGUUAAUAACCUUAGCAAUUGACGUUAGCGACAGAAGAAGCACCGGCUAACUCCGUGCCAGCAGCCGCGGUAAUACGGAGGGUGCGAGCGUUAAUCGGAAUUACUGGGCGUAAAGGGCACGCAGGCGGUUAAAGAAGGUGGAUGUGAAAACGACGGGCGUAACGUGGGAAUGGGAUGCAAGACAGGUGAGAUAGAGUGUUGUAGAGGGGGGUAGAAUUGGAUGUGUAGCGGUGAAAUGCGGAGAGAAGUGGAGGAAAAGGGGAGGCGAAGGAGGACAGCUGGAGAAAGACUGACGAAGAAGAGCGAAAGAGUGGGGAGCAAACAGGAUUAGAUACCCCUGUAGUC
rnacentral:rRNA from 1 species